CAAAGACAGUUGUAGUGCGCGCCGUUAAUAAAAGUUAUAUUCCAGAAGAAAAAAAACCUAAAUAGUUAAAAAGUGCAUGCAUAUGUAGUGAAUUUGUGCUAGAAAUAGUUCAUACUUAAAACCUUAAAGCUAUUAGUACGGUGAAAAGAUAAUAGCCUCGAAAAUCAAGCCAAUUCACCUUCAGUAGGUGCUAAUUAGUGUAGAAGAAAAGGUCCGAAUCUGCUCUCGGGCCUUUUCUUGUCUUUCUUUGUCCUCGGGAGUGACCCCGUUGGACAUUUUACUCUGCAGUGGCAUCCAGGAGCGUUGGUCGACAACGGAAUAAGCCGGAAGAACGCCAUAUAGGGGUCUAGUGCGAUCUACGAGGAUAGACAAAAGACCAUCGCCACUCUCAGCCGCCAUCACGCCCACCUGGUCGCAG